rnacentral:misc_RNA from 1 species
GUAGGUGAACCUGCGGAAGGAUCAUUAAUGAAAUUACAAUCCGGCGAGGGGAAAGGCGGAGAGUUGUAGCUGGCCUCCAGGGGCACGUGCACGCUCUCUUCCCGACCUUUCGUCAUAUGGGCGCGGGGCGACCCGCGUCUUCAUGCGCCUCUUCGUGUAGAAAGUCUUUGAAUGUCAUCACGAUCAUCGAGUCGCGACUUUUAGGAGACGCGAUUCUUUGAGAAAAAAGUUAUUACAACUUUCAGCAACGGAUCUCUUGGCUCUC